UUUGUCGCUCUCCUUCAGCAUUCUAAAGUUAAUAACACAAUAAUUCAAACAGAAAGCUACAGGCAAUCAGAGUACUGCAAAACUUUUAACAGCCUAAUUGAUGUCAUGACAACAUAAAUGCAAAUUACCUUAUUUGGAUCAAAAGGAGAAUUGGAUUCAGCCACUCGUUUUCUUCGUUUCCCAUCAGGUGUAGCCCCUAUAAUGGGCUCUUCCGUUAAUUGGCGAUCUUCUUGAGAUUCUACACAAUUUGUUAUAGUCCUUUCGACAUUUGCCUCCUUGUUUGAGGAAUAAUUAAGAUGGCAGCCAGUAUUGGCAACCUGGCUACACUCGGUGAGACCAAAUGAACAAACCAUUUCUGAGAAGCUCCCACUUCCAUAGGAAGGAAACUUGGGCAUUAGCUCAGCAUAACUUGAGUCAGAUGGGUAAUGAACAAGAUGGGAAGUGGUACUGUUUCCCUGGUUUUCCAUCACAACAGGGUAAGGAGAAUUGGUAAAUUCACUAUGAGACACCAUUGAUGAACCUCCAAAAUUCUCAUGCUGACUCAUUGAAACAACUGGAUCCCAAGCAGGAGCAAAGAAGGGGUUUCCACUCAUUCCUGAAGAUUGACAAUUGAUAACACUUUGGCCUCCAUUUUGAAACGCCUUACCAUCAUUGUUAUCACCAUUACCACCCAUUUCUCCAGAUUCAAAGCCUAAAUCCCCAAAUUCUAAAAAACAAGCCUAUGUGUGAUUUUGUAGAAAACCCAACCCAAGAGUUAGCCAAGAGCAGGACUAAAUAUAGAUAUAAAACAGAAGGAACUAUAGAUUAAAGGUAAAGUGGGUUUGACCAGAAUUAGCUGGUGAUAUCUUGCAGGACUCAACAAGGAACAAGUGGCCUUGGGCCUUGGCAGCUUUAUAGAACUGAGGGUUGCUAAAGGAAAAGAAACGCCUCAUUGCAGCAUCCCAUAGACUCAAAGUGAAAAAAGAGGAAAUCCAAUGUAUGAAAGCAUAAAAUCUAACCAGCAACAGCUACUCGACUCAUCUUUGAAAAGACCUUAGGAUCAAGGCUACUCUAAUAUGCAACGAUAAAACGGAAAAUGCUUCCUGGAGACAAGAAAGUGAACCUUUCAGAGCAUAAAGUAGACAUAGACAAACAAUGGCAUUAGCCAACUAACAGCUCAUCAGUCCUUUCAAAAGGAAAGCAGAUUCCCUUUUCACUUUUGCUCGUACAAGAAAGCAGCUCCACUCAUUUAAGACACCAAUGUAUUAAAAUUGGCAGACCUGAAUCUCUUCAUUUAGAACCUAAUUCAGGGGGAAGACCUCAAACUUUAACCAAUGAAUGUGGAAUUAGAAAAUAGUGUAUAGAGAAGUGAAAUGACUAGCUCUUCAAGUUUUGAAUCAGAAGACCCAAGAAGGCCAAAUAACCAAAGGAAAGGUAAGCUGCAGAGCACCUUUUGAGAUAUUCUCAGAUGGGUUUCCAAAAAAGACCAAAAAGCAUUAAAUUCUAUUUGAAUUAUACAAGAACUGAAAAGAACAGAGUUUCAUUCACAGUCCCCUAAAACGGGUGUUUGAUAGUACCUGCUGAAGCAAACAGGUGACCUGUAUGAUUUUAAAAGACACACUAACCACUACCCAGGCUUUCCCUGCUAAAUUAUUACAGAACCUAAUCUCUUUACUCCUUAUAAUUUCUUUUAGUAAGAAAUUCUUAAAUUAUUAUACCACUUUUUUCCGAUUUUCCUUUUGGAUUUUAAUAUUUAUUUUUCUCAAAGGAGAUAGGAGAGACAGGUUCUUCGCUUCAAGGCCAAGCUUGCUCGCUCACCUUGCUUGCUUCUUUGAAAUAUACU
rnacentral:misc_RNA from 1 species